GCAAAUUUUACUCUCUCCAGAUUACCUAAGUCCUAGAGGAAAAUCAAGAGAGAUUUAUUUAUUUGAGAGAGAGCAGAAAGAAAGGAAGACAGCACAAGCUGGGAGGAGGGGCACAGGGAGAGGGAAAAGCAGACUCCCUGCUGAACAGGGAGCCCAACGAUGUGCGGCUGGAUCCCAAGACCCUGGAAUCAUGACCUGAGCCUAAGGCAGGUAGAUGCUUAACUGACUGAGCUGUCCAGGCACCCCAGGAGCUACAUUUCUUAUUCAGCUAUAUUUCUAGUCAAGGAUUGUCAGAUAACUCCAUUUACUGGAGAGAACCCUGCCUUUAGGAGAAGUUCUUUCAUUCUCUUAAGGAACAUCCAGAAAAUGGAAAACCUAAAACUAGG
rnacentral:lncRNA from 1 species